GGCCACUGUGGUGUAGUGGUUUGAGCGUUAGACUAGGAUUCUGGAGACUAGGGUUCGAUUCCCCACUCGGCCA